CAACGCGCAAGAAACAAACAUUGAUCAUGCUGCACAUUUACUUUAUAAUUUUUCAUCUGAUUCACCUGUCAGUAUCGAUAAAGGAGCGCCACUGGAUUAAAAUAGCAUGUCCAGCUAGCAUUGAACAAGGUCUAAAAUACAGGAGAAUCACCUGGUACAAGGUUGAAGAGGGUUCUGAUGUGCUAACUGGACUUGUUUUGAAGGAUUUGCUAAAAAACAUUACAACCCUCUAUAAGUUUGCAAAUUAUUCCUAUGAGGUGGGGGAAGACAACUCUCUUCUGGUGCCUAGUUCUGCUAAAGUAGACUGUGGCAUCUACAGAUGCACAUUAUGGCCUCCACUGGGCCAUUACAUUCAGGAAGGAAAUACUGAUUAUUAUUCAGCAGACUGCAUAAAGCCUCAACUACAUGAUCUGCCUGCCAGUGAUCGUUUUAAAUACAUCAUAAUCCCAUGUGUGCUGAUGGCUUGUGCUGCUGUUAUCAUGUUUCUGAACAUCAAAAUGAUUAAGAAAACAAAAGAAAAAUAUAAUAUCAAGAAAGAACUUGUGCAAACUGAUGAAAGCAUAUAA
ensembl:lncRNA